rnacentral:rRNA from 1 species
CGGCGGACGGGUGAGUACACGUGGGUAACCUGCCCAUAAGACUGGGAUAACUCCGGGAAACCGGGGCUAAUACCGGAUAACAUUUUGAACCGCAUGGUUCGAAAUUGAAAGGCGGCUUCNGCUGUCACUUAUGGAUGGACCCGCGUCGCAUUAGCUAGUUGGUGAGGUAACGGCUCACCAAGGCAACGAUGCGUAGCCGACCUGAGAGGGUGAUCGGCCACACUGGGACUGAGACACGGCCCAGACUCCUACGGGAGGCAGCAGUAGGGAAUCUUCCGCAAUGGACGAAAGUCUGACGGAGCAACGCCGCGUGAGUGAUGA